UACGUAGGUGGCAAGCGUUGUCCGGAUUUACUGGGCGUAAAGCGCGUGCAGGCGGUCGGCUAAGUUGGGUGUGAAAGCUCCUGGCUCAACUGGGAGAGGUCGCUCAAGACUGGCCGACUGGAGAGCAGUAAGGGAAGGUGGAAUUCCGGGUGUAGUGGUGAAAUGCGUAGAUAUCCGGAGGAACACCAGUGGCGAAGGCGGCCUUCUGGACUGCUUCUGACGCUCAGACGCGAAAGCUAGGGGAGCAAACGGG
rnacentral:rRNA from 1 species